rnacentral:lncRNA from 1 species
AUCUUGUGGUUAAUGGAGACAGAUGGUCUUCCCUUGAUAGAUGCUUCUGGAAAGUUAACAUUCCAGCAGUGACGGUUACAUUCCUGUCAGGCAGGACUUCAGGAAGAGAGGAACUCCGCACCGUUUGAUCAGGAUUCCCAGGUGUGACUUUGCAGGCAUUUUAUUAAUGCUUUUACGAGUUAGAAGAGUUGGGAUAAUUUGCCAUCUGGAGUUUCUCUGCCUUGCUGAUCUGAGCUCAGACCUGCCAAUUUACCAGAGAUAAUUGAUAACACCCUGUAACAGCUGAGAGGAAAAUGGAAGAAACGGAGAUACUUUUAGUGAAGCAGAAUAAACCACUGAACAGGAAAAAUGAGGAAGCUGUGAGUACCAGUGGAAGGAACGAGCCAGGAAGAGGGACUGGAACCAUCUCAGAAGCCAUGCCCCUCAGGCUGGAACUUGCCCUGUCUCCUCGCAGAUGAGGUAGGAGGCUCAGCACGGGCUGGUGGGAGCAGCCCACAGCAGCAGUGAGGGUCAGUGGGCCUGUGAGUUAAGAAGAAGGUGGCACAGAGCGAGGGUCUCUGGAUCCUGACUGUUUGACUUUUCCAUGAUUAGGAUAAGUAGCCAGGGCUUGGCUAGUUGGAGAGUUACUCGAACCUCAGGUGACAGUUGUAAGGCAGCACAUAGUGAAAAAGAGUCCUAGCCUGGGAAAGUCCAAAACCUUAGGUCUGGUUUCAGUUCACUCACCUAUCUCUGUGACAUAGCAAAGUCUGUUAAUUUCUCUAAUUUUCUGAUUAGUAGUAUAGUUGCAGGAAUGAAAUAAAAAUGGUCCUGAUUACUCAGAGAUUCAUUUACUGAUUACUCUUUUUGUGACCUGAAUAAAGAGUACAACAUCUCUCAAAAGGUAACAAUAUGAUGUUUCAGGAAAUUAGAGAAGUUAAGAGACUUUGCUGUAUUUACUAUACAGAUAGUUGACUGACAGCUGAGCCCGGACCCAAGAUUCAUUUAUAAAAUGAAGGAGUUGAGAAGUACAUACUCUGAGGUUUAUCCUAAAUAAACUGAAGUCUAGGCAAGUGGCUGAGCUAGGUUUGCCAUGAAUCAAUCUGCUGAGUAUAUUUCUUGGUAACUAGUUCAUCUUUCCUUAAUUCAGUCAACAAAUAUGAUAUCAAGUUUAGUAAGAUGAUGACAGUUGUCAUGUAAUACUCCAUCUGGAAGAUUGUAUGCUUCUCAGCUUCCCUAACUUUUCUUAAUCUACCUUAAGCUUCCUUUCUGAAAGGUUUCUGUCUUUCCUAACAGUCUCUUCUUUCCGCCAGCUACCUCUUGUGUUUAAGAAUUAAAGGAAGAUGAGCUAGGAAUCAAGAAAUACGCAGAACUGAUUCCUGUCACUGGCGCCACCCUGCCACUUGCCCAGAGCUGUGGUAUAAAUUUUUUUAAUAGGCUGAAAUAAAAAUAUGAAUAGCAUUUUGGUAUUAAGCAUUAAAUUGAUAAAGGCUAUGAGAUACACCUGCUCUCAACCAUGUUAAUUUUUUAUUAUUGGUAUUAAUAAAUUAUUACUUACUAACAUAUUAACAAGAAUUGCAUUGAGAAACAAAGCAUCCACAGGCCAAAUCUUCUGAAUUUCAAAUGUUUAUAUUAAUGCGUUGUAUUCUAGAAAAGUAGAAUUGUCUUAAGUAGCUUUGUAAUAUAAAGUCAUCUAUCAGCCCAUUACACCUAUUAGAAUGUUUUAACCUUUAUUUCCCACUUUUUUGUUUCUAGACUGAGUGUACUUGGUCUGGUAUUUGUGGCAUAACUUACGGAACACAUAAGAAUGAUACAGAUACUAUUUAAUGAUGACCUAAUACAAGCUUAGAUAGCUAAGGUGAAAGCUUCUAUGGCCUUAACAUUUUCCUCUUGAAGAAUGUAUUUUCUGUAAUAAAAUACAGUGGCUACUUGAAAUCUAUAAACUUAUGUGAGGUCUGGAUAAAUCUGAGCAACUUUCUUCUUUGUGCUCCAGGAACCUACGCACUAUAUAUAUAAAUAAAGCUUAAGUAAACAUCACUGCAAUCUGUGUUUUGUUUGAUUAUAUUACGUAUUGCCUGAUCUUUAAAUAAUGAUGAAAAAUAGCCUUUAACAUAAACCAUGAAUGGAUAUGCACUUGAGGGAAACAGUUUCUUGGAUAAUUAAACUUUAAUUUCUCACCGUGGAUUCCUUGGAUCUUGUAAUAUUUUUUAAAACAGUCCUGGGGAUUUAUUUUUAAGGCGUCCAAAUGAAUUAUUAGUUCUCAAAAGCCAUAGUAUAUUCAUGGGUCGAUAUAUCCUCAAAACACUAUUUUUAAACUGCUUAGUUUAUUUUUCUUAGCGUGCUCAUCUGCUGCAUAAUUUUCUUUGCUAUGUAUGGGUCACAUGCUUCCUCCCGUCCAUAACUCACGCACUUAAAAUUCUCACUUCCUGAUUGAGCCAUCAGAUUACGUAAAAUGUAAAUCAGCCUGAAUACCUAGGAGCAGGAAUUUUAAGGGAGAAAAUGCCGUUUUCUUUUUCUGUGUCAUUAUUAACCCUUAAAUAUCAGAGUGAGUGUCUGCUCACCUAUUUGUAUUUGGAAACGAGAUACUGUUAGGGGUUUUUCUUGGCCCUUCCCUUUCAGAUUGAAUCAGACUUUGCUGCUUUCCUUAUACAAAAUAAUGUACCAACUAGAUAGACGGUGGGAGUGGUAUCGUUGCAGGAAUGAAA